CCGAAAGUCCAACGCUUCACUCUACUUCAAUGCUAUGUCAGACACACGCACGCUUCUAGCAUGGAGACUCAAGCAUCUUCAUUCAGCAUCGACGUGAAAACUCCAUCACGACACCAACAAAAAAACUCAACCAAAAUCUGGAAUUCAAUGUCACCCCCGAAGAAAUGUGAACAAGGCGAGUUUAUUUUCACCACCAUCGAAUCGAGUUCACCCCUUAAUCAUUCUCGCGCGCAAAUAAAGAGAUUGAAAAGAAAAAGAGUGACCUACCAGAUUCGUGAAUCGUACACACUGUGUUAAGGAUGACGUCGUGCCUUUCGGAUUGUCCUCCUGUUUUAAUUUUUCCAAGUGAAGAAGAAGUGAGGCUGAGUGUCAAUCCCUUUUUCCAGAGUGCAGAAUGAAUCAACAAUUGAACCUGUGUGAGGAAAGGUUCCCCCUUUGGAGAAUGAGGUAAGUCGGUUUAUAGGGGUUAAGAAUCUGUGCUGCCAAAAAUGCUUCCCUCCAAAUUCUUUUAUGAAGUGGUUUAUAAGUUUCUUACAGAAUCGAUUAAAUAAGUUUUUUAUGAUGCAAUUCCUUUUUACUUUGGAGGUUAGAUAGGUAAUUAGGUUAUUCUGUUAGGCGUGAUGGUGAGGUUCUGUUGUGAAGUAGAAGUUAGUUUUGGAAGUUUCUGUUGGAAAAAUCGGUUGGGAUUAUUGGUGAUUGAAAAUAUGGAACUCAAUGCCAUUAUCUCCUUUUUGACAGUUACAGGUUUUUUCCAGUUAGAUGGGUUAUGUUAGUUUGAGUUUCGGAUUGAAAUUUCUAAAGUUAAAUGAAACGAAUUUGUUCUGCAUUCGAAAUGGUUAGAUAAACUUAUGGAAUUGUCAUUUGUGCUGGUUUGAUUGUUAUUCACUUGGCAUAAAACUGGAAUUGUAGUUUGAGUUGAUACAAAAUUUCAUUUAGCCUAUGCUUGUAUUUUGGCUUAUUAAAUUGUUAAGGAAUGCAGGUUCCAACACAAUUAAGUAUGUGAACCGGGAUAAGACAAAGCAGGCCGAUGCCACCGUCCAACUAUCAUCAGGGAUUCGCCAAUUCCUUCUCGAAGAUACGUACAUUGAUUCGGGGAGGUCUUUGUAAUUCAUUUUUUAUUUUAUGUAGUGCCGAAUUCUUAUGAACUUGUAACUCAAUAUGUAAUGGGAACCAACGCUUUUUUCAAUUCAAAUGCAUAUGUACCUGCCAAAAUUCCCAGGUUUAUAUGAA